GACGAACGCUGGCGGCGUGCCUAAUACAUGCAAGUCGAGGGGCAGCAUAAGUAGCAAUACUUGAUGGCGACCGGCAAACGGGUGCGGAACACGUACGCAACCUUCCUUUAAGCGGGGAAUAGCCCGGGGAAACCCGGAUUAAUACCCCAUAAUAUAUUGAGAAAGCAUUUUCUUUUUAUUUAAAGUAAUUUAUUCACUUAAAGAAUGGCGGUGCGCCUGAUUAGGUAGUUGGCGGAGUAAUAGCCCACCAACGCCNCGCGAUCAGUAACUGGUGUGAGAGCACGACCAGUCACACGGGCACUGAGACACGGGCCCGACUCCUACGGGAGGCAGCAGUAAGGAAUAUUGGUCAAUGGACGCAAGUCUGAACCAGCCAUGCCGCGUGGAGGAUGAAGGUCCUCUGGA
rnacentral:rRNA from 1 species